rnacentral:rRNA from 1 species
UACGAAGGGGGCUAGCGUUGCUCGGAAUUACUGGGCGUAAAGCGCACGUAGGCGGCUCUUUAAGUCGGGGGUGAAAUCCUGGAGCUCAACUCCAGAACUGCCUUCGAUACUGAAGAGCUUGAGUCCGGGAGAGGUGAGUGGAACUGCGAGUGUAGAGGUGAAAUUCGUAGAUAUUCGCAAGAACACCAGUGGCGAAGGCGGCUCACUGGCCCGGUACUGACGCUGAGGUGCGAAAGCGUGGGUAGCGAACAGG